GCGCCCUUAGCUCAGUGGAUUAGAGCGCAUGGCUACGAACCAUGAGGCCGGGGGUUCGAAUCCCUCAGGGCGUA
rnacentral:tRNA from 3 species